rnacentral:rRNA from 1 species
CACAUGCAGUUGAACGAAGCAAUUUAGCGGAAGUUUUCGGAUGGAAGUUAAAUUGACUGAGUGGCGGACGGGUGAGUAACGCGUGGGUAACCUGCCUCACACUGGGGGACAACAGUUAGAAAUGACUGCUAAUACCGCAUAAGCGCACAGGACCGCAUGGUCCGGUGUGAAAAACUCCGGUGGUGUGAGAUGGACCCGCGUUUGAUUAGCUAGUUGGUGGGGUAACGGUCUACCAAGGCAACGAUCAAUAGCCGACCUGAGAGGGUGACCGGCCACAUUGGGACUGAGACACGGCCCAAACUCCUACGGGAGGCAGCAGUGGGGAAUAUUGCACAAUGGGGGAAACCCUGAUGCAGCGACGCCGCGUGAGUGAAGAAGUAUUUCGGUAUGUAAAGCUCUAUCAGCAGGGAAGAAAAUGACGGUACCUGACUAAGAAGCCCCGGCUAACUACGUGCCAGCAGCCGCGGUAAUACGUAGGGGGCAAGCGUUAUCCGGAUUUACUGGGUGUAAAGGGAGCGUAGACGGUAAAGCAAGUCUGGAGUGAAAGCCCGGGGCUCAACCCCGGGACUGCUUUGGAAACUGUUUAACUAGAGUGCUGGAGAGGUAAGCGGAAUUCCUAGUGUAGCGGUGAAAUGCGUAGAUAUUAGGAGGAACACCAGUGGCGAAGGCGGCUUACUGGACAGUAACUGACGUUGAGGCUCGAAAGCGUGGGGAGCAAACAGGAUUAGAUACCCUGGUAGUCCACGCCGUAACGAUGAAUACUACGUGUUGGGGGACAAAGUCCUUCGGUGCCGUCGCAAACGCAAUAAGUAUUCCACCUGGGGAGUACGUUCGCAAGAAUGAAACUCAAGGAAUUGACGGGGACCCGCA